ACGGGUGAGUAACGCGUGGGAAUCUACCUUUUGCUACGGAAUAGCUCCGGGAAACUGGAAUUAAUACCGUAUGUGCCCUUAGGGGGAAAGAUUUAUCGGCAAGAGAUGAGCCCGCGUUGGAUUAGCUAGUUGGUGGGGUAAAGGCCUACCAAGGCGACGAUCCAUAGCUGGUCUGAGAGGAUGAUCAGCCACAUUGGGACUGAGACACGGCCCAAACUCCUACGGGAGGCAGCAGUGGGGAAUAUUGGACAAUGGGCGCAAGCCUGAUCCAGCCAUGCCGCGUGAGUGAUGAAGGCCUUAGGGUUGUAAAGCUCUUUCACCGGAGAAGAUAAUGACGGUAUCCGGAGAAGAAGCCCCGGCUAACUUCGUGCCAGCAGCCGCGGUAAUACGAAGGGGGCUAGCGUUGUUCGGAAUGACUGGGCGUAAAGCGCACGUAGGCGGACAUUUAAGUCAGGGGUGAAAUCCCGGGGCUCAACCUCGGAACUGCCUUUGAUACUGGGUGUCUGGAGUGUGGAAGAGGUGAGUGGAAUUCCGAGUGUAGAGGUGAAAUUCGUAGA
rnacentral:rRNA from 1 species